rnacentral:rRNA from 1 species
CACACCGCCCGUCACAUCAUGGGAGUUUGUUUUACCCGAAGUCGUUGACCAGACCGCGAGGAUGGAAGCGCCUAAGGUAAGGCAGAUGACUGGGAUG